UACGUAGGGUGCAAUCGUUAAUCGGAAUUACUGGGCGUAAAGCGUGCGCAGGCGGUGAUGUAAGACAGGUGUGAAAUCCCCGGGCUUAACCUGGGAACUGCAUUUGUGACUGCAUCGCUGGAGUGCGGCAGAGGGGGAUGGAAUUCCGCGUGUAGCAGUGAAAUGCGUAGAUAUGCGGAGGAACACCGAUGGCGAAGGCAAUCCCCUGGGCCUGCACUGACGCUCAUGCACGAAAGCGUGGGGAGCAAACAGG
rnacentral:rRNA from 1 species